GACGAACGCUGGCGGCGUGCUUAACACAUGCAAGUCGAACGGAAAGGCCCUGCUUUUGUGGGGUGCUCGAGUGGCGAACGGGUGAGUAACACGUGAGUAACCUGCCCUUGACUUUGGGAUAACUUCAUGAAACUGGGUCUAUUACCGGAUAGGAGCUCCUGCUGCUUGGUGGGGGUUGGAAAGUUUCGGCGGUUGGGGAUGGACUCGCGGCUUACCAGCUUGUUGGUGGGGUAGUGGCUUACCAAGGCUUUGACGGGUAGCCGGCCUGGGAGGGUGACCGGCCACAUUGGGACUGAGAUACGGCCCAGACUACUACGGGAGGCAGCAGUGGGGAAGAUUGCACAAUGGGCGGAAGCCUGAUGCAGCAACGCAGCGUGCGGGAUGACGGCCUUCGGGUUGUAAACCGCUUUCGCCUGUGACGAAGCGUGAGUGACGGUAAUGGGUAAAGAAGCACCGGCUAACUACGUG
rnacentral:rRNA from 1 species